UUCAAAAUGAGCGGGGUAAUGUUUUGCUCCGUUGCUCAAACUGCUCGAUUAUGCGUGGCCACUCACAACUGACAGUUUUGACAUUUAUACGCUCUAUCACACCACCCAUGUCAUUGAUGAAGCGAUGCUCAUAGUUGAAUAACUUUCCAAAAGGGUGUAUUGGGUCGAAAUUGGGAUAAUGAAUUCGGGAAAUGGAACUUGUGGUGGAGCUACAAGUAGGAUUUGUAACCGACGGUUACAAUACCCCAUCGUCCCUCCUUCCAAAAUGAUUGAAUUUUCAUUAGAGUAAAUUUUAUUUACGGGUUUUAGCAUUUUAUGCACAUCAUUAGCCCUUUGCUAAUCUUAAAUCUUCAUCACUCAUGCGAGGAAGGGAAGAUACAACAUGGUAACUCAGUUCUGCCUUUGGAACUGUCAAACCAUUGACUAAUAAACCAAUGUUUACCUUUCGACGCGAGUCAAAACAAAACGAUUUCGCGAUUCUCCGUUUUUCCCAAGUGAAUCUUACACCAAUCUCGCGUUAUGACGAUUUUCCGCGGGUUAACCGGUUUCGCGAACCGAAAACUACUCGGUCGGGUUCCCAUUUGGCGGUAAAUGGGAACCGUGAGAAAUUGAUUUCCUUUUCGCGGCGGAGGAUAAUUGGUAUUCACCUGCAUCUCAACCUCAUUCAUCAACAUCCGCGUCCGGACAUCUGAAUGAUUCGGAAUUUCGAUCGUCCGCCGAAUAUUUGGGACGGGAUUGCCGGCAGCGCCAGUUCUCCUCGAACUGGUCCCGUUAGAAGAAGAUGGGAAUCAUUACCAGCAGAGCACACAUCCUGUGGAAAGGAUGGGUCCGCUACAAAUUUGAUCGGAUUGUUUCAUCCGGAUUAACCCUCAGGUGGUGACCCGAGAAAAAUACUUUUUAAUACUCUCGCUGUAUUUCAGGAGAAAAAAAUAAAAGUCAUUGUAGGUUGUUUUCAUACUUUUUUCAGGAAAAUGUCCUUAGUCUGAAUGUCGUCGCGUCCGGUAAAUGCGUUGUUAUUUGUCAACAUGAUAAAUGUAAACGAAUGAAAUAGUCGAAAUAGGUGCCACUGAUUACGGGCGUGGAAUUUACACGGGUUCGGAAAUACUUUUAACGAGCUAACUACUUGAUCUGUCGAUGGAACUAAAACGAACGAGAAAACGUCCGCGAUCAAUCGUCAUUAGUGCUGCCGUUUUGGCGCAUAUUUCGCGUUUGUUUACCGCCGUAGACAAUAUCGAUCGUUUUAAUCGCGCUAUUGGUUUACUUUCACGUCGAGUUCCGCGCCGUAUGAGCUUUUUAUCGGGUUUGCUCAAUAUGCUAUUGAGAUUUCCCAUUGUGAAUGAAUAAUCAUCCGGCUGUUCUACGCGAAUGAAUGAAAAUCUAAUUAAGUACGCAAUACACUAUCGUUUAAUGGACCGCUAAUUGAAAUAUCCUAAAAUUUGUUCAAGCGUUUCCUAAUUUAUUAAACUGCGCUUUGAAACGCAUUUGGGGAAUAAAUGUCUGAGAAAUUUAUCACUUUUCAAAACAACUGUUCCAAAAGAACCUUCGUUUGGAGAACGAAGCAAGUUACCAAAAACAAAUAGGGCUUUGUUUUUCUCGUCCCCACCGGGGGAAAUGAAAAUUCAAAAUCAUUUUGGUUUAGUCAGGCGCCAAUUGAAACUCGCCAGCUCAGGGACGUUGUGUUUGGAAUCUACAGGGUCGUUAUUUCUAUGAUUUUGAGCAUAAACAUCGCCACUUGUCGGCAGGGGGUACACAUACUAGGCAGGAACAGUACUUACUUUGACUUUGGAUCGAACACUGGUUGAUUAUGAAUAGGGCUAUGAACCAACGAUGAAACCUAGAAGGGGGGGGGGUCUAAAUGCAAAGUCUGAUUCACUUGCGAAUCACAAGGACGUCGAGGCU